GACGAACGCUGGCGGCGUGCCUAAUACAUGCAAGUAGAACGCAGUUGCGAACGGGUGAGUAACGCGUAGGUACCUGCCUGGUAGCGGGGGAUAACUAUUGGAAACGAUAGCUAAUACCGCAUACUACCAGGUGGACCUGCGUUGUAUUAGCUAGUUGGUGAGGUAACGGCACACCAAGGCAACGAUACAUAGCCGACCUUGGAGGGUGAUCGGCCACACUUGGACUGUGACACGGCCCAGACUCCUACGGGAAGAAGCAGUAGGGAAUCUUCGGCAAUGGGGGGAAACCUGACCGAGCAACGCCGCGUAAGUGAAGAAGGUUUUCGGAUCGUAAAGCUCUGUUGUUAAGGAAGCGGUACUUACCCAGAAAGGGACGGCUAACUACGUGCCAGCAGCCGCGGUAAUAC
rnacentral:rRNA from 1 species